rnacentral:rRNA from 1 species
UACGUAGGGUACGAGCGUUGUCCGGAAUUAUUGGGCGUAAAGGGCUCGUAGGCGGUCUGUCACGUCGGGAGUGAGAACUCAGGGCUUAACCCUGAGCCUGCUUCCGAUACGGGCAGACUAGAGGUAUGCAGGGGAGAACGGAAUUCCUGGUGUAGCGGUGAAAUGCGCAGAUAUCAGGAGGAACACCGGUGGCGAAGGCGGUUCUCUGGGCAUUACCUGACGCUGAGGAGCGAAAGUGUGGGGAGCGAACAGG